rnacentral:rRNA from 1 species
UACAGAGGUCUCGAGCGUUGUUCGGAUUCAUUGGGCGUAAAGGGUGCGUAGGUGGCUAGGUAAGUCGGAUGUGAAAGCCCGGGGCUCAACCCCGGGAGGCGGAUGGAUACUGCUUGGCUCGAGUCCGGAAGAGGCGAGUGGAAUUCCCGGUGUAGCGGUGAAAUGCGCAGAUAUCGGGAGGAACACCAAUGGCGAAGGCAGCUCGCUGGGACGGUACUGACGCUGAGACGCGAAAGCGUGGGGAGCAAACAGG